UUGAAUCUGGGGCGCCAUGAGGACUACAAAGAGAUGGAAAACGAAUGGCUUUAAAUCACAUCUGUUCCUCUAUUUAUCUUCAUGGGUGAAACUCCUUUCCUCCUGAUAUGGAGGAAAGGAGACAGUGUUUCUGAUCAACAUGACAGGAAGUGGAUUAGACACGACGAAUUAAAAACAUAUUAAUAGCAGGCUAAUACUUCUUUGAAAAGAAAGGAGGAAGUGGGAUCGUAACCACAGAGGUUUCAUGCGCCAUCUCAGUUUCACAGUGAGCCAGUGUGUUUCUCACCACUGCUGUGGACUGAUCGGACAUUUUAACACGAAAAAAGUUAAAUCAACUGAAUAAAAAAGUAAGGAUGGCAGUUUGGGACAAAAAGAUUAUCUGGGGCUUCAUGUUGCUGCUGGCUGGUGCUGUGGGUCAGAGUGUGAACUAUUCACAUCCUGUUUGUGCCAUGAAAGGAUCGACUGUCACGCUCCCCUGCACCUUUGAACCACUGGAGUCUGUCACUGAAAAUGGAAAAGAAGUUCUGAUAAAGAUCAACAGAGUAGUCUGGUGCCCAAACCAUCUCCUUUGUCACGGCAGCACUCCGUCUGUGUAUGACAGCGAAUCAAACAACAACAACCCUCGUUACAGAUACCUGGGUGACAAGAAGGGAAACUGCACUUUACAGAUCACCAAUUUACAGGAGGAGGACAACACAACUUUUCGCUUCAGGGUGGAAACUAAUCACAGCAAAGCAACUUUUACUGGAUCAUCAGGAGUGAAAGUCACAGUCAGAGAUUCUAAAAUGAGGAUAAAGAGCUCCUCGACUGAGACAGAGAUGAGAGAGGGUGAAUCAGUCACACUGCGCUGCACAGCAGUGUGCACUUUCCACCAGCUGGAGGUCACCUGGUUCAGAGAUGGCUCCGCCCUCCCAGAGACUGGCCCCGCCCUCAAGCUUGACCCUCUGACUGCAAAGGAUUCUGGGAACUACACCUGUCGUCUGAGGAACAACAGCGUCACACUCUCCCAGCCGUACAGCCUGAAUGUGGAGGCUGAAGGAACAACUAGUGCUGCAGUUGACACAAUGCUGGCUAUACGUCUGGUUCUCUUUGCUCUGCACACUGUGCUCAUCAUCAUCGUGGCAUCCAUCAUCAUCAAAAGAAAGAAAAGAGGACUUGGAUAUGACAUAUGUGAUUUACAGCAGUGUCAUAUGAGAAUAAAAUACUCUGGGAAUACUAUGAACAUGAAGGCUCACCUCACACGCCACCAUCCAGAGAUAGUGUUAGCUGCUGACGGCCAAGCUAACGCUAAACCCGCUCCGCCGAAACAUUGACCAACAUUGACACACCUAGCUCGACACAACUACCAUCCAACUGUGAGAGAGCCAAGAAACUAACACAGUCCAUCACCUACUUCCUGUUCAAAUAUCUGCGUACAUACAGCGCUGUCGAAAACAAAGGCUUUUGUUACAUGCUAAAAACACGUGAACCCAGGACAUGUGUUUGCAGGAAAGCAGCAGCAGAGAUCUGAAAGACUCGACGGCGCAGGUGAAUCAGUGACGUUCACAUCAAACAAACACCAUUUUCUGUUAUUCUGUCUUUAUGGAGGGUCUCUGAGUGUUCGGCCUACCUUAUUUCACUUCCUGAAUUAAAAACAACUGACGAUGGAAAACAGAUUGUUUCUCUUUCACCUCUUUAUCUGAAAAGAAAUGUUCCUGUUUGAGUGGGCAGUUUGUCUGAUGAGAGCAGGCUACUGUAAAAGGUGUCUUAUGAGAUGUCUUAUGAGUAAAGCUGCACACAAACAGGAACCUGCCUCCUGUCACAGGAACAUUUCUGCUAUUUAAAGCUGAUAAAAACAGCAAUGCUGUAAUUUCCUGUUAAUGUCAUCGUUGCUCUUUCUGCUCUUUUGAAACACAUACCAUACAAAUUCAUGCUCCUCAACUUUGUGGAUGCGUAUUUGUGUAACAAUUUUCCAAACCCACAGUUCAAUGGGGUGUGGACCAUGAGAAGGCAGACCACAAACAUUUAUGUUGCAGCUUUGGUGUCAGAUUCAGAACCAUUACACCCCAAUAACAUCCUCUCUGCUUCUCUUCAAUUUAAGUUCAAAGUUCAAAAGGUUUUUAUUGUCAAUUGCUAUAUGUGCAGGACAUACAGAGAAUGGAAAUGCUGUUUCCCUCUCACCUAGUAUAAUGUCUUACAAUUUAAGAGCUAAAAGAAAGAAAUAUAUUUUUCUUUUUUAAAUAAUGUAUAACCUUCCCUGUUACCUCUGUGGAAAUAGUCACAUUUGUUAUUAAAAACCAGCACAAGUCUGAAAACUGAUACAAAACCCUACAAAUUAAACUGCAUGAUUUUUCGGUCUUUUGGCCUGAAACAGUUUAAACUCUGCUCCUGUUUCAGUCUCCACGACUUCAACGAGCCCUGACAUCUGUGACAUAUCAGCUCUCAUACUGAUCAGUGUUUGUUUUACUCAGCAGGAUUGUCUCUGUAGUUAAUACGAUUUACAGGAAGUCAAACAUAUAAUGAGUAUAUAUAUGUCCGUGUAUGCAGCUAGUGUCCGACUGUUGUGUUUUGUUUUGGGUUUUUUUUUGCUUCAGUCAAUACUUUCAGUUCUUUAAGCUGUUUAUUUCUAUCUGAUAUAAUGAUGCUGCCAUCAAACAUGGAGUCUUGGAUUUGAAUAUCCACCUUAAUGUGAGGAGCUUUAAAGAAUAAAACA